CUCCAGCCCAACCAAGCUUGCUCCUGCGCGCCCGAUUCCCGCACGGACCACGCCCUCUUCAGCUCGCCGGCGUUGCCCCUGUUCCAUGGCCGGCGCGUCCCAUCUCUCUGGUGCUCGGCGCCCUCCUAUUUCCUAGUCCAUGGUCGCGGUUUCCUCUCUCCCUCCCUCCAUCUCUCUCUCCAGCUCGCGACACCCUCUGUCGGCUCGCCAUGGCCGCCGCGCGUCGCGCGCCCUGCUCGCUCAUGGCGAUGGCCUCUGCCCGCCGCAGCUUGCUCGUGCACGGACAGCAUGUGGUGGGUGUAUCCAUUU
rnacentral:misc_RNA from 1 species